ACAAAUAAGGUCCUGCACAUUUGCUACAGAGGAAAAGGGCAAAAACUCAAGAUAUAUUUGUGAAGUAAGUGAACCUCGUCACUAUAUACUACAAAUCUUCACACAGCAAGGUUUUGUCUUCACCCUAAGGUUCUCUUUGGCUUCUUCUGAUUGCUCUUGUGGAUCCUACCUGGUUUUCUUAGCUGAUCUCCCCAGUCCCAAUUAUUCCUCCAAAGCAUGAAUAUGUCACAGCUUAAAUUAAAGAACCUGUGCAUGAUCAAAAUCUC